UUUAGAGUCCUUAUAUCUAGCUUAUGUUUCUGACCAAGGAACCAUAAUACUGUUGGUGGACUUGGUGAGGAGGCGUUGUUUACUGGAAUGGAGAUAAUUGGCCUGUGCUGAGAGUCCAGAAUCUGUUACCGAUCACUUGAAACUUCCAUAUCAUAACAAGGUCUAUGAUUUGAAUCAUAUUUCUUGUGCUUCUAUUCAAGAGGACUAGGCCAAGAACUGAAGAGAUCGUAGAGCUCAAAUCAAGGGUUUGCAGAGGUGUCAAAUUGUAAAUUAAGAUGUUAUCUUUUCUUUUGUUUUUGUAUAUCAUUUUGGUCUAUGAUUUUUAAAUCCAUGUACAGAAAUUCAACUUAAUUUGAACGCCUUCCUCUCA